UACGAAGGGUGCAAACGUUGCUCGGAAUCAUUGGGCGUAAAGCGCGCGUAGGCGGCUUCAAAAGUCGGAUGUGAAAUCCCGUGGCUCAACCAUGGACGUGCAUUCGAAACUGCGAAGCUUGAGUAUGGAAGAGGAUCGCGGAAUUCCCGGUGUAGAGGUGAAAUUCGUAGAUAUCGGGAGGAACACCAGUGGCGAAGGCGGCGAUCUGGGUCGAUACUGACGCUGAGGUGCGAAAGCGUGGGGAGCAAACAGG
rnacentral:rRNA from 1 species